AACGCGAAGAACCUUACCUGGGCUCGAACGGCUCGUGAACGACUGUGGAAACACGGUUUUCCCGCAAGGGACUAGAGUCGAGGUGCUGCAUGGCUGUCGUCAGCUCGUGUCGUGAGAUGUUGGGUUAAGUCCCGCAACGAGCGCAACCCUUGUCCUGUGUUACCAUGCCGAAAGGCGGCACUCGCAGGAGACCGCCAGCGAUAAGCUGGAGGAAGGUGGGGAUGACGUCAAGUCCUCAUGGCCUUUAUGUCCAGGGCUACACACGUGCUACAAUGGGCGGUACAAAACGCUGCUAAGCCGCAAGGUGGAGCCAAUCGCAGAAAGCCGCUCUCAGUUCGGAUUGUAGGCUGCAACUCGCCUGCAUGAAGCUGGAAUCGCUAGUAAUGCUAUAUCAGAACGAUAGCGUGAAUACGUUCCCGGGUC
rnacentral:rRNA from 1 species